CCUCAGAAGUUAGUCCCGUUGGAUUCAAUGGGAGCUUACUCCCUACUCGCAGACUCCUCUGAGGAUGUUCAGUGCCCCCCUCCCAGGAAAAAGAUUCAACAAAAGCGGCUAGAAGAAGCUUUAAUUAAAUGUCUGGUUUCAAUGGGAUUAGUGCCUGAUUAAUCCAGCCUCUGUCUGCCUGUCAAUCAUGCCUGUCAUUAUAAUUGUCAACUAUAUAGCCGCUAACUAUGUGAAAA